CAGACCUUCAGCGGCUUUAUCUACAUUCCUCACUUGGUGUUUAUUGGGCAACAAGAGGCCACGUACUCAGUGUCUUCCAGAUAAGUCCCCCACAGACAUGCUGUGCCCAAAUAGUCCUCAUCUAGGGCACAAGAACCUCAAGCAUAUCGAAGAGAUACUUUCAAAGAUUUCUUCUAAAUAUCUCUAACAUAGGAGUGAACCUGAGUUCUCUGGGAUCCAUCUCGUUGGUGGUUGUUCCAAAAAUAAAGACCAGAUCUGACUCCAAAAAAAGACCUUCAAAAUCAAAGAAGGGACAGAGAGUUCCACUGCAGAUGUACUGCCUGGAGAACUCGCAGAUGUGAGCAUGAAGAGAAAGGUUCGUUUCAACUGUUGCAUUGUUCUAGCAACCGAUUGGGAAAAUAACGGCUUCUCUGAAGAUGCUCACAUCCUAAUCUCUAUCUUUAACUCGGUGGUUACAACAAAAGAAGAACAUUUCAGAGUCCCUGGGUUUUAAUAAACCUUCACUUCCAAUGAAAUGGGCAUCCUUCGCCACCCUGCCUCACCCACCUCAUGUUGUAUUGGCCAGAAUUAACCACAGGACCCUCCUGAACUGUAACUUGACAAGGCUAGAAUGUCCAAUAAGCAUCAUUCACCCUGCCAACUUGACUGAGGUCAUAUGUCACCUUUAGGUCACCUUUGGUCAGCACUGUGGCCAAAGAAAGACAAGUAUGCUACAGUUUCUGGUCCCAGGUUCUAUGCCAUCCCUGCAGCUGUCAAAGGAGCUCAACUUAUACGCUCCAGAGAUACCAACAACCACAAGGCCAAGCCCAGGGCUGACAUCUGCCCAGGACAUGCUACCCAAUCAGAAGGUUAAAGCUUCAGAACCAACUCUUCAGCCAUGUUUUUCUCAGAGUGAAAUUUCCUUCCAAGCUGGAGCUGACUGAAUGGGUGAUUACUAAGAAUACACAGCCUCUGUCAUCUGAAAGGGAAAGGACACUGGGAUCUCCAGAAGCCAACCCAGACCACAAACCUGGAAAGGCUGCCAAAGGAGGCUGAUCACGAGCAUUCAUCAAUGACCAGGAGACAAUUCAAUGGGUGAGGCUGCUUCCAUAUAGCACGUGACCAGGCCUGUUUCAGUAAAGGUCCUAUGCAAGCUCUUCCUCAUGGAAAAGUGCUAAUGUCUGCAAGAUGCAAAGUAAUGGCAUAUUAGAUUGUUGACUAUUACAAUAGGACCUGGGCAUAUUAUAUAUUACAUGCAUAAUAAAGAAUUGAUGUGAGGUGUCAUAAAGGUUCCAACUGCAGAUUUUGAGUUGAAGUUAGGUAGGCUUUGCAGUGAGACCCACAUACUCCUCUGGUUCUUUGUGAGUGGUGAAGACAGGAAGAAUCAGAGACAUGGCAGCAGGAGAUGGACUCACUCUGGGAUCACUGGCUGUGAAGGUGGGGAGUUGGGUAUGAGAGCAAGACUAUGAAGCUGGAAAAAAUAAGUGAAGAGUCUUCCUUAGAGCUUCUAGAAAAUUCCAAAGUGGCUCUUUGAAAUUAGCCCAGGGACACCACUGGUCUCUGAAUGUGUAUUGUUUUCAGCUAUUGAGUUUAAUUUAUCAUGGCAACAAUAAGAAACUAAUGUUAACCCUAGGAAAAGCGAAGGAUGUGGAUAGGACCAAGCCCCUUAGGAAGAAUAAAGAGCUGUAGAUGCUUCUAGACUACACUCUGGGCAUGAAAGAGCCACUAGAUAGACAAGAGCAUUGGAUGCCAUGGUUCCUGUGAUGAAGCCGAGAGCAAAGCCUUUCUAGAAACCUUGGUGUUCCCUUGGUCUACGGCACCCUUCCUGGGAUCAAGGUGGUCUAUUAUCUAACUGCCGUUAUAACUUUAAAUAUAGGUAUUAAAUUAGAACACAGUCAACCAAAGCCAAGCAGAAACAAACAACUGGGUAUUUUCUCAGCAGGACAAGUCGGGUGGGGCAUUGCAAGAACUGGAACUCCCGUAAGCCAAGAAUUCAGGGCCAAACCCGCAGACCUAGUUAAUGAGCCUACACUGAACAGUACAGACACAGCCUGGGCUUGAGAAAGGUAAUUCUGCUAAUGAGUUGACCCUGGGCGUGCCCUAGAGUGUAGUCACACAGGAGAUGGUUAUGAAACAGUGUUCUUUUACAGGUAACUCGGAAGCUUGCACACAUACCGAGGAAGCUGAAGGUUUUUAAUCUCUUCAGCCACCUGAUCUGAAAAGAAGAAAGACUAUCGGGAAAUGCAUCCCCCCUCCUGAGUUGGUCCCAACAUGCAGGUAGAAUACAAAUUUGGCCCAAGGAAUGAGGCUUCCAUGGUUGGUAAUGGGCCUCCAAAUUCAUCAGAGCUCUGUGCAGCAUAGUAAGUGAACCACUGAUCAUUUUGCAGAGACUCAAAGGCUUCCUGCUGGGAGCUAAUGGUCCCAGGCUUGUUCUUAGGAGAGCAUGUGUUCGCAUUAAGCCUGAACUUCGGUGGCUGCACAUCUACCAGUUAUCAACAUCCAAGUCAUGCGGAGCAGCUAAGCCACUCCAACAUUUGAAUCACAUCAGCACCCUUGCUGGCAACCCUUUACAGAGGGACUCAGCCUCCUCACAGAGACCAGAAGGUUCUCAGCACCCCUUCAAGGAAGAGCUCUGCUUUAGGAGAGCUAAAGUGGGGAGUCACUAACACACACUGCCACACACACUGCAAACACACAUGCUCAGUACCCACAGCUUCCAGUUUGUGGGUAUGGGAAGGACCCCCAGACAUUAGUUACCGGACUUGUGGAGGCUCAUUUGUCAAGUUAGUGCAUGAAGUAAAGGAGGCCUAUCAUCUACAGAACAUUUAAAAAUAUGUGCCUGGUGUGCCUCUCUUAUCUCCCUCAGUCUCCACAGUAAGGCUAUGAGGUUCAUACUGUUAGUCUUAAUUCUAAACUCAGGAACUGAAGCAAUAUCAUCCUGGUAAGAUUAACUUGUCCAGUUGUACUGCUAUUAACUAGCAGCAUCUGGGCAUUUUCAUGAUGUCUUUGUUCAUUAUAUUUGUUAUAUACUAAAGUGUCCUUUUCCAAAGGCUCCACCCAAUUUGCUGAUUUUCUUUAUCAUUUAAAUAAACGUAUCUUUCCUUCUCUGGCACAUAGUUUCUAUGUUUCUAAAUAUAAUGAAAGAUCAGAUUCCAUUCUAAUAAUUGAACAUGUACUUUCUUUUUCUUUUCUCUUGUGCUGGGGAUUGAACCCAGGGCCUUGUUCAAGGUAAGCAAGUGGGGCACUGUGCUACUGUCUUAUACCGUAAUAUCCUUAAUAUGUAAUGUACCUUCAUAGGGAAAUACAAAAAUGAGUGGAAAAUUCUAAUGUAGUUGGGUAACUCAAGCCCUCAGUUUAGCUUUAGAAGGCUGAGUUGUUUGUAAAUUAUAAAAGAAAACCAUGUGAAUUUGGAAAUCUUUGGCACCGUGAUGUUUAAGUGAAGAAAAGAAUGUCUGUCUUAUGCUGCUUUGGGAAUGGUGUAAAGAUCGAGUGGGGCAGCAGAUGCAGGACUGCUGCUUCCUUGUAAUUUGUGUGCUCACAGUCACAGGAAUAAGCAUAGACCUGUGUGCAUUCUGCAUCCAUUUUGAAACCAUAAAGACCAGAAGUCUAAGCCUUUCCCAUAAUCCAGUUAGUCUUCAGAGAUUCACUAAUCUUGGAAAUGAGUUCCAGAGUUUUAACACUAGCCACUGUUUAUUAAAAGCCUUCCCCAUAUACAGUAUUUCUAAUCUUCACAUCUCUCUCUUUUAAGCACAUAUCAUUCUGCACAAAUGAAUCUUGAGAAACUGAGGCACAGAUGCUAAGUAUCUUGCUUAAGUAGGUAACAGAAAGAAGACAAGAAGCCAGGAUGGCAAAUUCAAACUCUGUUUAGAGCCUUGAAUCUGAUAGGAACAAAAUGCUAAGUAAAAUGCUAUCGUUACAUUAAUCUGUUUGUAAACUUACUAAUGUCUAUAGAAACAAAAUGACUACCCCUCAGGCCUGCUCUCCAAAUUUUGCACCUUAAUUAUUUUUGUGUUAAAUGCUGUCUUCAUUUCUGCUCUGUCCUCCCCAACCCCAAAAGGGCAUGAAUAAAGAGAUCAAUAUCACAUACAGAAUGACAUUAUCAGAUCCUGCCAAAAUCAACAUAGCCACGAGGUAGUCGGAGCUUGUGUUUCCACUGACCCUUGUCCGGUUCAGCUCCAACAAGGGGCUACCUAUCUUCCACAGAGGUCAGCAUAGAGUACAGAGCAAAGUGCAGAUUUUGCAGCAGAAAGGGACACCUUUGACUCCAUUAAUAAACCCUCCGCCUCCCCCCAUCCCACCAGACUUCCUGUUUAGGCCUUAUUUUAGUCCUUUGAACAACUGUCCAACAAGGCAACGAUGCCAGCUGGACAUAGGAUGGAAACAGUGUUGGUGAGGGUCAGACCGUCUCUGGGUAAGAAGUCUCACUGAGUCACCCUGCUCCUCAACUGCAGACUGUGGGUUUACAUGAGAGAGAGCAUAGUGGCUUGGAAGGAGGAUGGUUGGCUGCUGGGACAGGGUUGGGUGGGCAUAUAUCCCUACUCAGUCACAUUCAUUCGAUAUCCAAAUGAAUUAAUUAACUUCUCUGACCUCACUGCCUCUAAUGGAGGAAAACCUCCAUUAGUUAUUAGGAACAUUAUCUGGCCCACGUGAAAGACUUAACACAGUGGCCAACAAAUAGAGCAUGUACUAAUUGUUGCUAUUAGAAGAUGGUAGAUGCAGUGGCAAGGUGAAAAAGAAGGAGUUUCCAUUUACACCUUUAAGUGGAACAUUCCUGGAGUGUCCCAGGCCAACUACCAUGGCUCCAGGAUGGACUCAAAACCUUACACUCCAUGCAGAAUUGUCCCAGGGUCACCUAGAAAUGUUUUUCUUGGUACCUUGUUACAAUGUGACCAGACUGCGCAUGAUUCAGAUUCAAGUCUUCCCCUAGGAAUGUUCUUACCACCCUUCACAUGAUCUUUCCAAACAGACUCUUGUCUCAAGUGACAAGUUGGGAGACGACCUUGGGCACCUUUAAAAUACGUAGACCUGAUUUCAGUCUGCAGAAGGAGACAGAGGCUAAUCCCUUACCUUGAUCCUCUUAAGGUCCAGUGAUAAAUGUGAUUAAUUAUCCUACGGCUUGGUAAAACAGAAGGGAAUGACACUCAACUGAAGUGGUCUGUCUGUCUGAGCAUUCCUCUGGGAGCCCCGUCUACCACUCAGGAGCUAGACCCUGCAACCUAAGUCCUAAGGGCAGUGUACAAACCAUGUUCUAGAAGCUUAAUUUCUCUCCAGGAGAAUCCUGGGGGCAUAUUCCAACACAGAGUAGCUCUUCAAGCUUUCCUUUAAUAGCUCUGUAUGCAUUAUGAAUGGUAGUCUGAAGCUUGCCCUAAGACUUACUUCACGGAACCUCAAGGAAAGAGAAGACAUGAUCUCAACUUCAGAAUACUCAGUGAGCAAGAGAAAGUGAUCUUUAUUAAAUUGUCUUAGGAGAACAUAGAGUUUGACAAAAUUGUGACUGGCAAAUGAUUCAAGGCAAAGUAUGUCAUGAUCCUUGUGUGGUUCUCCCAGGCACAAAAAGAAUCUCAUUAUUUACCUUUAAACCCGACAAGUGAGGAUGGCGAAAUGAAGUCCUAAAGGGUUAGAGAGAUGACUCAGUGCAGGUGCUCUGGACUCCCAGCAGGCUCUAUGCAAGAACACAUAGAAUAAAGUUUAGACUCGUUUAUGGAAUCAUCACAGAUGUCUAGAAGCCAUGUCCUUAUUUAAAUGACACACUGAGAGAAGCAGCCCAGAGGUUUAAAGUGGUGUUAACACUUAUCAGAAGAUGUGGAGGGUUAAAAAAAAAAGGUACAGUGAUG